rnacentral:lncRNA from 1 species
GGUGGGCGGGGCCGGUCGGGCGCGGUCGGACGGGGCCGGUUCGGCCCAUUUUGGCCGGGCCGGUCCGGUUUCUAUUUUCUUUUCUUUUAGCCCUUUUCUUUUUCUGCUUUUCCCAUUUCUUUGAUAUCUUUUGAGUUUGAACUCCAAAUUGGUCCAAAUAAAUUCCAGAAAAUUUGUAAAAUCAUGUCCUACCAUGAUACAACUUUUGGGAGUAGAUUCCCCUCAAAAUAAAAUAUAUAAAAAUACAUUUGCCCUAUAAAUGCCUUUAGGGCUAUAUAUCUGUUUGAAUAAAAUACUUUUUCAACUCCAAAUAAUUAACCAAAAAUUAUGGGAUAGCUUAUAUAUGCAUUA